rnacentral:rRNA from 1 species
AAACGGUUGCCAACUCGCGAGAGGGAGCUAAUCCGAUAAAGUCGUUCUCAGUUCGGAUUGUAGGCUGCAACUCGCCUACAUGAAGCCGGAAUCGCUAGUAAUCGCGGAUCAGCAUGCCGCGGUGAAUACGUUCCCGGGCCUUGUACACACCGCCCGUCACACCACGAGAGUUUGUAACACCCGACGUCGGUGGGGUAACCUUUAUGGAGCCAGCCGCCGAAGGUGGGAUAGAUGAUUGGGGUGAAGUCGUAACAAGGUAGCCGUAUCGGAAGGUGCGGCUGGAUCACCUCCUUUCUAAGGA